rnacentral:tRNA from 1 species
GGACAUGUAGCUUAGUUGGUAAAGCGACUGGUUGAAGCCCAGUAGUCGUGAGUUCGAUUCUCAACUUGUCCAC